rnacentral:misc_RNA from 1 species
GGCAGAGGUCAUGCAGAAGCUGAAAGGAAAAGUGGCCAUAGUGACUGGUGGUGCCAGCGGAAUUGGGGAAGCAACAGCACGCCUUUUCGCUCAACACGGCGCACGAGCCGUUAUUAUCGCCGACAUCCAAGAUGAAAAGGGCAGAGCGGUGGCGGCAUCCAUCCCUUCACAGAUUUGCAGCUACGUGCAAUGCGACGUGAGUGAUGAAAAUCAAGUGAAAGCCAUGGUGGAUUGGAC